rnacentral:tRNA from 1 species
CAGGAAAUAGUUUAAUUAAAAUAUUAAUUUUGGGGAUUAGAGAUAAAGAUUGCUUUCUUUUUUCCUGA